UGCUCUGGAAUACACGAAAGCUGUGAUCCUUCCCAUUUCUGCUGCUCCGCUUUGAGAUACGACAAAGCCUGGAAGGCAGGGUGCUCCAAGAUAGAGCAGUGACUAGGGGCAACAGCCUGAAGAGGCAGUCGGCGGUGGCUGAGGAUGGAGGCCGCUUGCUGUCGGGGAGAUGUUACAAAGGAAGCAGUUACCAGUAAGGACUCCCUUUCUGGGACAGUAUUAGAUUCUGAGCCACCAAAGCAGGUUUUCUGGUUUAAGCCACUGGCAAGUUGUGGGGAUUUUUUUUUCAUAUUUUGCCCUUUUCAGUCCCAAUGCAAGUGGCUGCAUAACUUUGUUGAGAUCUCCCUUUAAAUCAAAAUGCUAAAUUGUAGUAGUCCAUUAAACUGAACUGUGUGCAGCAGCUGGACAGUCA